UGUACCAAAAAUAUAUGUCAGUAAUAAAUGUGAUUGUCCAUGUCAUAUUAACUAUAAGCCUUGUCAUCAAUCUUGUUAGCCAUGUCAUCAUUUUUUGUAAAAAUGAUCGUAGAUAGGACAUGUGGCAAAAUCACUUCACAAAUGUAGUCUAGGGGAUAUUUAUCGUUCAUGUGGUUGCUACGUUCAAUAAUUUGCUGAUAAUGCAUAUUUGUUGGGGAUCCUAUAUAUGUACCAACACUGUGUUGGCAACAAAUGCGUAAUCAUUAUGCGGGACAUAUCUUGAGAGAAUAGCUAGGUUUAUCAGAACUUUAGUUCUAACUGAACAAAGUUUUGUGUUUAUAGACAUUAUGGUUUCAGCGCAGGCAACUCUCAAUAAAUCCAUAUCGCUGAUCAAAAAACAGUGAAAUCCAAUUUAUUUAAUGGUGGAGUAAGAUCUGAUUGGUUUUAUUUCGUUUGUGUAAUUAGUUUCUGGGAUUAUUGUUGUUUUUUGUAUUUUAAUAUUAAUUAAAACUUCCUAUAUUUAAUAGAAUUGUAAAUUUCUUAUGUUCUGCAGGUCUUACAAACAUCCCGAGAAUUUCUUAGUGUAGUCGAUUUAUUUUAACGAAUAUAUUAGGUCAACAUAAAUUUAUUUUUUCUUUUAAUCUGCAUGAUAAAAUUAUUGAAUGAAUAUUUUUUGGAUAAUUAAUGUGGAAACAAGAAGCCGAUUAAUUAUUUUAAAUUAUGCAUGAGCACAGUUUUUAAAGCGGAUACAAUAACAAAAGUAGAAGUAACAAUUAUUCGAUUAAAAAUUUAAAAUAGAUAAUUUCAAAAAAUGAUAUAAAGAUAGAUGAAUAUUAAAAAGAGAGGAUAUAUAUUCUCCCCACGAAGCAUUGAUAGGUAGAUCAAGCACAUAUGAAUCCAUGAGAGGUCUUCCUGCCACAAGCAUUGAGAAGAAGACUGAGAGAGACGGGAACAUUAAGCUUGAUUCCUAGGACAUUUGCCUUUAAGGCGGUACAGAGACAAGCCGCGGCCUCAAGAUCGACCAAACCCUUAAGACCAUCUCCAUCGGCGAGUUGAGGGAGAGGUUCUACCGAAUUUAAGGGGGAAAAUUAAAUGCAAAAUGCAAAAAAACAAAGGACCGGUGUUUUAAUAAGGGAAAGUAGAAGCGCUUAAAACUCCUAACGUGGCGGCUCCGUAGUGGGUAGAAAAAAGGUGGCCUCUCCUCUUUCGUUUUUGGUCGGUUCUCUCUCUUUCAUCUUCGUCGAAAUCGCUCCGGCUCUCUUUCUCUUCGUAUUCGCUCUAUCUCUUCACCACUGUUCCCAUCAAAAUCUCGGACGGAGAUGAUGUUUGAUCGGUUUCUCCAUCGUUGAUUAUGUCUCUCUCUUGUUCAAUCACGUGGAAAUCCCUCCGUCGUUUGGUCUCUCUCGUUCGUCGUCGAUCCAUGCAAUCACCUCUCCAUCCAAAGGCGUAGACAGGUAAACAAAAACCCUUUCCUUUCUUCUGUGUAUUGAUUUUGCUAGUAUUGAUUUUACUUGUAUUGAUUUUGGAAUCUGGAUACUCUUCAUUUGCUUGUGUUGAACAAAUCAAAAAUUCUUUGGGUAUAGGCCUAUCGAUUUGUUUUAAAAAGAAUGCUUUCUGUAUUGGAGAUAAGAAACAAAAGUUGAUUAAUUAUCAAAAAUGAUAAUUCUUUGUCUCGUUCUCUCUGUUUAAUUAUCAAAGUCUCUCUGUUUAUCCAUAAUUAUAACUCUCUGAUAAGAAACAAAAGUUGAUUAAUUAUCAAAGUCUCUCUAUUUAUCGAUAAUGAUAACUCUUUGUCUCGUUCUCUAGCCAUAGGUUUGUUGAUUAUUUAUCAAAAUUGAUAUGUUGUUCUUCUUUGACUUUGAGGACAUAACUACAUCGGGACAGAGCAUCUUCUGUUGGAAAGCUCGUGAAGGGGAAGGUGUUCCAGCACCUGUCCUGGAGAGUUUGGGUGUAGAUGGUAGCAUUGAAGUUGCAUCAUCAAUGCAGUCGUCUGUCAUUUCGGUUGGGAAGAGGUGGUGUGGUAUAUCUCGUGACACAACAAGACAGUAACCUUGUGUAUUGGAGUUCUCGUGACACAACAAGACAUGUUGUAGUAAUAAAGCAAAGGAGUAUAUAUAUUAGGAUUGCAAGGGUUUGGACAGUUAAAUAAAGCUGUCUUACUAAAUCAUUUUGAUCAAUUAUUAACUUCUUUGAUAUUUUAGUGAGAGUGGAACAUUGUUUUAUUAAGUGGUUACAAUAAAUCGUUUUUUUCAUAUAUCAUUCAGAAAUGUGUACAAUCAUGGCUCUUAUUAUUAUUAUUUUUUUAACUGACAA